ACCUGGCUAGCUCAGUUGGUAGAACAUGAGAUUCUUAAUUUCUGGGUCAUGGGUUCAAGCCCUAUGCUGGGCA
rfam:Pelodiscus sinensis unplaced genomic scaffold scaffold5465, whole genome shotgun sequence.